UUAUUUUGGAUCAUAUUUUAAAAGAGGCUACGAGGAAGAUAUUUGUCGUGCAUUUUAUUGUCUUAUGCAUGGCGUGGACCAUCUAAGAUCUGAUAAAUGAUCGUGGAGAAACUUUAUAAUCUCAUGAUGAUUUUUUUUUCUUCUUUCCUGAAAAUAGCCUAUCUAAAACUAAAGAACUUGAUUAUCAGAAUUUAUAUAAAAAAUUAGAAACUGGGCCUGUGUUGUGUGAUAUAAAGACAGAAUGAGCCCUGGCUUUUGUAUGAGUUAUGGGUGCAUUUAAAAAAAAGAUUUGGGCUAAGGCCCACAUCUAAGAAACUAAGUCCACGGCCACUGUUUACUUUGACCACCUCGGAAACUGAAGAGUGAAGAGGCGUGAAGCCACAGCAACUCAAAAAUACCAAAACGAUGGAUCACUUUGCCACAAGCUAAAGGUAACGCGUACGCUCCUCUGCAAUUCAUCAUUCGUUUAUCAACUUUAUCAUGCGCGUGAUGAGUGAAUGCGAGUGGAAGAAAGAUAAGAACAAUGUCUUCUUUUUAAGAUUGCGAGAAGAAUGAUCGAGACAGUUGUAUUCUAUACUGGGUUCCUAGUAGGUGCAAAGAAAGACUUGUGCCUAUAGCCUGUAAGUGGAUGGAUGUCUGCUGUGCUGUGGGACUGGGAUACCACUCCGAACCAAAACCUAACAGACUCUCAGGGUUAUUACAUCUCUAAUAGCUAAUUAGUUGCAUGUUUUGCUUUGAUAUGACAACUCAUGCACUACAACUUGCGGAUCUCAUUGACAUUGAAAAUGUUUCAUGAAUACAAAGAAGUGCCUUAUCAAGUGGAUGUUGAACGCAACAUUCGUGCUCUAAAUGGGCUCUUGUCGAGUGCGGAGAGCCACUGGCGCGUUGCCCACUGAUUCUGCCUAUUAGACACGCAAACGGUGAUGAGGACCCUGAAUGAUCUACUAGGAAUCCUCUGUCACCUAUGGAAGAUUUUCGUAGCUUCUUUGGCUCAUGGAUCCCAAUACCAUCUUCUCAAAAAUUAAUGAGCAUGCAAUUGAAUGCUUUCACCACCUUGGACUUUUUAUUGUAUGGUGGGCUUGGGAUACCCCAGUUAAGGGACCCUUUUCUCACAAUGGUGCAGUUUAAAGGGAAUGGUAAUGGAGACCUGUGACUCCCAUGAACGUGGAUACUUAAAGUGCAUAAGCAAUAAAUGAA